ACGCGAAAGGCCCCUUCGGGGGCCGAGUAGAGUGGCGUCCGGGUGAGUAACACGUAGGUAAUCUACCUCUGGGUGGGGAAUAACAGUCGGAAACGGCUGCUAAUACCGCAUAACGCAGCGGCACCACAUGGUGACAGUUGUUAAAGCGGGGGAACUUCGGUCCUCGCGCCUGGAGAGGAGCCUGCGGCGGAUUAGCUAGUUGGUAGGGUAACGGCCUACCAAGGCGACGAUCCGUAGCCGGCCUGAGAGGGCGGUCGGCCACACUGGCACUGACAUACGGGCCAGACUCCUACGGGAGGCAGCAGUCGGGAAUUUUGGGCAAUGGGCGAAAGCCUGACCCAGCAACGCCGCGUGAAGGAUGAAGUUUCUCGGAAUGUAAACUUCACAAGAAUGGGAAGAAUAAGUUUUGGCUAAUAUCCAAAACGAUGACGGUACCAUUUGUAAGCUCCGGCUAACUCCGUGCCAGCAGCCGCGGUAAUACGGGGGGAGCAAGCGUUGUUCGGAUUUACUGGGCGUAAAGGGCGCGUAGGCGGCGUGACAAGUCACUUGUGAAAUCUCCGGGCUUAACUCGGAGCGGUCAAGUGAUACUGUCGUGCUAGAGUGCGGAAGGGGCUACUGGAAUUCUCGGUGUAGCGGUGAAAUGCGUAGAUAUCGAGAGGAACACCUGCGGCGAAGGCGGGUAGCUGGGCCGACACUGACGCUGAGGCGCGAAAGCUAGGGGAGCGAACGGGAUUAGAUACCCCGGUAGUCCUAGCCUUAAACGA
rnacentral:rRNA from 1 species